rnacentral:lncRNA from 1 species
UGGUGCCGUGACUCGGAUCGGGGGACCUCCCUUAGGAGAUCAAUCCCCCAUCCUCCUGCUCUUUGCUCCGUGAGAGAGAUCCACCUAUGAGCUCAGGUCCUCAGACUCACCAGCCCAAGAAACAUCUCACCAAUUUCACUUCCGGAACCCACUGGAAAUCGGACUGUUCAACUCACCUGGCAGCCACUCCCAGAGCCCCUGGAACUCUGGCCCAAAGCUCUCUGACUGACUCCUUGGCUUAGCGGCUGAAGAUUGAUGCUGCCUGAUCUCCUCGGAAGCCCCGUAGACCAUCACAGACGCCGAGAUUUUGGUAACUCUCACAGUGGAGGGCAGGAAUGUCCAGCCUCUGAGCCCAAGCCAAGCCAUCGCAUCUCCUGUGACUUGCACGUAUACACCCAGAUGGCCUGAAGUAACUGAAGAUCCACAAAAGAAGUCAAAAUAGCUUUAAGUGAUUACAUUCCAUCAUUGUGAUUUGUUCCUGCCCCACCCUAACUGAUCAAUGUACUCCGUAAUAUCCCCCACCCUUAAGAAGGCUCUUUGAAAUUCUUCCCACCCUUGAGAAUAUACUUUGUGAGAUCCACCCCUGCCCGCAAAACAUGGCUCUUAACUUCACCGCCUAACCCAAAACCUACAAGAACUAAUGAUAAUCCAUCUCCCUUCAUUGACUCUCUUUUCGGACUCAGCCGGCGUGCACCGAGGUGAAAUAAACAGCCAUGUUGCUCACACAAA